AGCGAACGCUGGCGGCAGGCCUAACACAUGCAAGUCGAACGAAGUCUUCGGACUUAGUGGCGGACGGGUGAGUAACACGUGGGAACGUGCCUUUAGGUUCGGAAUAACUCAGGGCAACUUGUGCUAAUACCGAAUGUGCCCUUCGGGGGAAAGAUUUAUCGCCUUUAGAGCGGCCCGCGUCUGAUUAGCUAGUUGGUGAGGUAAAGGCUCACCAAGGCCACGAUCAGUAGCUGGUCUGAGAGGAUGACCAGCCACAUUGGGACUGAGACACGGCGCAAACUACUACGGGAGGCAGCAGUGGGGAAUCUUGCGCAAUGGGCGAAAGCAUGACGCAGACAUGCCGCGUGAAUGAUGAAGGUCUUAGGAUUGUAAAAUUCUUUCACCGGGGACGAUAAUGACGGUACCCGGAGAAGAAGCCCCGGCUAACUUCGUGCCAGCAGCCGCUGUAAAAC
rnacentral:rRNA from 1 species